rnacentral:rRNA from 1 species
CAGCCGCCGCGGUAAUACAGAGUGUGCGAGCGUUAAUCGGAUUUACUGGGCGUAAAGCGUGCGUAGGCGGCUUUUUAAGUCGGAUGUGAAAUCCCUGAGCUUAACUUAGGAAUUGCAUUCGAUACUGGGAAGCUAGAGUAUGGGAGAGGAUGGUAGAAUUCCAGGUGUAGCGGUGAAAUGCGUAGAGAUCUGGAGGAAUACCGAUGGCGAAGGCAGCCAUCUGGCCUAAUACUGACGCUGAGGUACGAAAGCAUGGGGAGCAAACAGGAUUAGAUACCCGUGUAGUCCCUGUCUCUUAUAC